rnacentral:lncRNA from 1 species
GCAGAUCUAUAGCAUAUUUUCUGAGAAAGCAGGAAAUCUCUUCUCAACAUGGCUUCAGAAAAGACUCAUGCUGAAGCAAGGUUCAAAAAUGAAUCCAUGUCCUCAGGCACUGAUUCAGACUCUCCAGAAGAUCCCAAAGAGAAGACUAUCUCUCACAAAAGUAAUCCUGGUAUUCCCAAGCUGCUUCUAGCCUCACUGCUGAUACUGUUUUUGCUGAAGGCAGUCUUAUCAUCUGUCCCUUCUAUCAUUUUAUAUGAAAAAUAUUCCCAGCAUCUUGAAGAAAAAAUGACUGUAAAAGGACUGGUUCAUACAGAAUUGGGAGUGUGUAAAAAACAAUUCGACCACACAAAGUAAAACUUAAUGUAUCUGGAACUGCACUGCUGACUACAGUAUGUCAGGAUCCCACAACAGUAUUUCCAAGUAGAAUCUCAGGAAGAUCCUACUGAGAAAUGGAACCUCAUCAUCAUUUUAAGCUUCAAGUGUACAAAUAUGUAGGACAUAAAAUUCUUUUUUUUUUUGUGUUAAAUUCUUUUAUUGGUACAUUGUAGGUAUACAACACAAUUACAUUUCUCAUUGGGAAUUGUACCUUUACAUAAUACAUCUUGGUUCUUAUUUUUUCCCCAUUCCUAGCCCUCCCUUCACGCCCUCCACCCUUCCCUAUUUACAAAGAUUUUAUUUCCAUUUCUCAUCAUUUUUCCUUUCCCUUCUUUAGGACAUAAAAUUCUUAUAUGUGUACCUUAAUUUGUCUAUGCAAGGCUUGAGAAUGGUCAAAGUUAUAUUGCUUUUGGAUUUCUUCAGCCUUUCCUUCUGAGUGUCCUGUGCUCACUGCUUUCUUUCACAUCUCAGUUAAAACCAUUUGAUGAAAAUGAUGUUGGUGACUACUUUAUGACAAAUGUGAAUUAUUUAAAAAUUUAAAUGAACAUAUUAUUAAGAAUAUUUUUAUAUUUACAAAAAUUAAGCAGAUAAUCUGAAAAGAUAAUAUUCAAAAUCCGCCGUGGGCACAUAAGAUAUACUGCCCUCUACUACUAACAUUUUACAUAAGCAGGGGAAUUAAUUCCAACUAAUGAACACACUAUCAGUGCAGUUCAUGAUUAUACUUGUUUUCUUAUUUUUCACCUAAAUAUUCUUUUUCUGUUUGAGAAUUCCUUCUAAGAUUUCUGUCACCUUCCUUUUAGUUGCCAUUUUAGUCUCCUUUUGACUGUAAUAGUUUUAUAGAUUUUCCUUGUUUCUGAUGACCCUGAUAAUUACGUGCAAUAUUGGUUCCCAUGUUUAAGUAUAUCUCUGUUAGAGUUUGAUGUUUUUUAUGAUUAGAUUGGGAUUGCUGUUUUUGGCAGGAAAGGAGCAGGUGUAAAGUGCUAUUUUCAUCACAUACUCUAGAGGUAUAUAUUAUUAUAGUGAUUUCUUCCCUUUUGGUGUUGACAUUUAUCAUUUGGAUAAGGUAGUUUUAUUCGGGUUUGUCCACUGUUAAGCUUCUUUUCCCCUCCUCUCUUCACAGUACACUAUAGUUGCUAUACACUUUUGGAGAGUUUGUUCCCUACCCUUCAGAAUAGAGUAUUAUAUUCAUGAGGGUUCUCAGAGAAACAGAACCAAGUGAAUAUGUAGAUAGACAUUAUUUUUAAAUAAAUACCUCAUGCAAUUUUAGAUGUGCAAAAAAGUUCAAAUCUGGACGCCCUACCAAGGUCCCGAGUCGCGCGGAACACACCGAAUCAGCCCGCUGCAGACAGGCAGCCACCUGGUUCCACACUACGAAGACGCAGAGGACACCAGACCACCAGACCACGGUACUGAGCCACCGUCCCACUGCUCCUGGUCCAGAGGAAGGGGCUUCCUGGCCACUAUCCCUCCCACUGCUCCCAGCCCAGAGGAAAGGGCUUUUGGGCCACCAUCCCUAGUGCUGCUCCCGGCCCCUGCCCCACCUCUCCCAGUUCAGAGGAGGUAAUCCAUGCAGGUGCCAACAGCCACCCCCCAGUGGAAAUGAGAAAACACGUAAAUAAGUCUCAAAACCAGACUUCCAGAUCACCUACAGCAACCCCAAAGGGAAAUGAGAUGGAACACUCUGAUACUCAACCACCCGACCCCGACCCCCAGUCC